rnacentral:sRNA from 1 species
GGAUGUGAAGGUGAUCUGGGUGCAAGAUGUUACACUAUUGUCAGGGUUGAUGCCACUGAUCCGGCUGGCUAGGCAGGUGUCCUCUCCUUGUUACUGCUCCACGUAUUCCCCUGGAAGCUGCAUGCUCUGGAGGCCCCAAAGAGGUCCAUCUUCCCCAAGAAGUUCACCCUCCCUGAAGAGGUCCAACUCCUACACAGAGGAGGAUCAUUCUUCUGUCAGGGACAUAUUAGUAGCUGUGCUCCCCUGCCAGAACCUCUAAACAAGCUCUCAAAUCUUCAUCAUCAUUUACAUAUAUAUAUUGGUUUUUUAUCUUUUUU